rnacentral:rRNA from 1 species
GAUGAACGCUAGCGAUAGGCUUAACACAUGCAAGUCGAGGGGCAGCAUGGUCUUAGCUUGCUAAGACUGAUGGCGACCGGCGCACGGGUGCGUAACGCGUAUGCAACUUGCCUCACAGAGGGGGAUAACCCGUCGAAAGACGGACUAAUACCGCGUACACUUGGGAUAGGGCAUCCUGACCCAAGGAAAUGAAAUUCGCUGUGAGAUAGGCAUGCGUCCCAUUAGCUAGUUGGUGAGGUAACGGCUCACCAAGGCGACGAUGGGUAGGGGAACUGAGAGGUUGAACCCCCACACUGGUACUGAGACACGGACCAGACUCCUACGGGAGGCAGCAGUGAGGAAUAUUGGUCAAUGGGCGAGAGCCUGAACCAGCCAAGUAGCGUGAAGGAUGACUGUCUUAUGGAUUGUAAACUUCUUUUAUACGGGAAUAACAAGAGCCACGUGUGGCUCCCUGCAUGUACCGUAUGAAUAAGCUUCGGCUAACUCCGUG